AAUUUAACGAGUCACCUAGAAAACUGAACGAGUAGACUUGAAGAUCCCAAUUUGACAAUCCAAAGGGGAAAGACGUACUAGAUACCUGCUGAUCCAACACGAGUAUGAUUAUCUCGUCUUACAAAAUAUGAAACGUCGUGCAGAUGAUUCCAUCAAAUCAAGGGGCCCAAUCCCGAGUUGCGGAAUAAGAUCAGCGAAUCCGGGUCGAUCACCUGCCCUCAGCCACACGUCAACAAUUGGAAGCGAUCAACUAUCAUAAUCCAGGCGGGUGGCGUUCCCGAAUACCAAACAGCGAUGACAAACCGGGCUUGGACCAAUGACCAGAGAUAGAAGAUUAUUAGCCAAAGUAGAUAGGGUUCAGGGGAAUAGGAAAAGGCCCUAUGGAGUAAAGGGAAGGGGCUUGAGUUCUGAGACGAAGAGUUGGCUUGGCUUUGAAGGGACAUAUGGAAGAACGAGGCAUCGUAGAUGAGGAGAUCCAGUUGUGCUUGCUGCCUAUCCACUUGGCGAGUAAGAGGCUCUGUGCAAGAGUGGAAGGUAUUCCUUGUGCCUUUGGCUGCUCUUCUUAGCCUUAGCCUAGCCGGUUCCUUAGUUGGUCAUUCAUGAUUGGCUUAGUCAAUCCGUUCACUUGCCUGUGGCUUUCCCUGCCCCUUUUAGUAGUGCUUUAGUCAUUCCCGAACCCCCAACUGCCUCUCCUUCGCUCUCCUCUGUCGAAGAUGAUAUUCAAUAGCUUUGUCACUCCAGUAAUCUGUUCGUUAGCCAACAACCCGCUCUCGUUCGGAAACAACUCUUGAAGAGCCUUCCGCUUCGGCAACUAAUAACCAUAGUUAUUAGCUUCUGGUCUAUAGUCACUGAUCUCGAGUAUGCCCUCCGCCUCUCCUCUUUUUCUUGGGUCUAUCACCUCCGCUCACAAAUCUCUGUCUCCUUCGUUCGUGUCUGUCUUCCGGUUGAUGAUGAACUUGUUGUUUUCUUAGGCGUAGGUGUAGGUGCUCUUCUCUUAUUCGUAUGAGUUGUAUAUGGUUGAGUGAAACCUCUUGAAGAGCUUUUCCUUACCUAUGUCCCUUAGCCAAUCAAGCCUUACUUUCUUUCCCUUUUCUUCUUUUGUUUCCUGCCUCGGUCAGCUUUUCUUUGAUCUAUCUCCGCGGGUCACUAAACUAACCUUCUCUGGUCCGCUUUGGCUAUUGAACUAAUCUUCUUCGAACCCCCAGGCCGAACUCGGAAAGUCCAACCAAUGUAUGAUACACCCGACACUGCAACCGUCUCUUCAAUCGGGUCAAGUCCGCCAUCGAACCCCCUAGACCCCAAGCCAGUAAGUUUGACCAGGAAUGCCUGCGAACGGCAUAAUCAUGAAUAAGAAGAGCAACCGGUAAACGAGUGCGAAGGGAGCGAAGGUUACAAAGCGGGUUUUUCUAUCUAAGGAAGUCUAGUCUCCAUCAGGCGAGUUGAACGAUCUACUGAAAUAGCCUGAUGGCGAAUGGGACCUCUUUAAGACAUUACCUUGGCUUUUUAGGUCUUGAAUUCUUUCAGAUCCUGCCCGGCUUACUUUCGCUAGUCAUAAUAGUAAGCACCUCACUCCUCACCGAAACUGCGAAGGGACGGCGCGUACACAAAAUGGCGGCUUACCGCAAGUCCCUUCGGUCUCCCUUUAGCUCUGGUGGGCGUGGUUCUGUAGUUCUUCUGGCCUUCCUUCAUGUCGUAGCCUUAGCUUAUCGAUGGGUCUUGCAUUAGAUACAUACAGCAUUUUCUUUGACUCAUGCCUUGGAGAAGAACGUUCUUUGUUUGAGUUUGAAGCCGUUAUCUUUCGGGAGCUACCUGGGCGAGACCCUUCUCUUUUUAUUAUUUCCAUAUGUGGUAUGUUGAAUCACUUGUGAAGUUGACUUGACUUGACUGUGCCUGCUUCAACUUCACCCUAGAACUUGUGCUGUGUAGUGUAGCGCAACUAGACUAACAGGCGGUUGAGUGAAUUUAUGAACAAGCAACUGGCAAUACCUUUCUAUUUUGUGAUUCUUCCUCCACUCACCUUCAGGGGUGAAUUCUGUCUUUGCUCUUUCUUGGCUAGUGUAGUAGAUGGAAUUCUAGGUCAUUCAGAUUUCG
rnacentral:misc_RNA from 1 species